rnacentral:rRNA from 1 species
GACGAACGCUGGCGGCGUGCUUAACACAUGCAAGUCGAACGGAAAGGCCCUGCUUUUGUGGGGUGCUCGAGUGGCGAACGGGUGAGUAACACGUGAGUAACCUGCCCUUGACUUUGGGAUAACUUCAGGAAACUGGGGCUAAUACCGGAUAGGAGCUCCUGCUGCAUGGUGGGGGUUGGAAAGUUUCGGCGGUGGGGGAUGGACUCGCGGCUUAUCAGCUUGUUGGUGGGGUAGUGGCUUACCAAGGCUUUGACGGGUAGCCGGCCUGAGAGGGUGACCGGCCACAUUGGGACUGAGAUACGGCCCAGACUCCUACGGGGGGCAGCAGUGGGGAAUAUUGCACAAUGGGCGGAAGCCUGAUGCAGCAACGCCGCGUGCGGGAUGACGGCCUUCGGGUUGUAAACCGCUUUCGCCUGUGACGAAGCGUGAGUGACGGUAAUGGGUAAAGAAGCACCGGCUAACUACGUG